rnacentral:rRNA from 1 species
GACGAACGCUGGCGGCGUGCCUAAUACAUGCAAGUAGGACGCAGUUGCGAACGGGUGAGUAACGCGUAGGUAACUACCUAUUAGAGGGGGAUAACUAUUGGAAACGAUAGCUAAUACCGCAUACUAGUAGAUGGACCUACGUUGUAUUAGCUAGUAGGUAGGGUAAUGGCCUACCUAGGCAACGAUACAUAGCCAGCCUGAGAGGGUGAUCCGGCACACUGGGACUGAGACAAGGCCCAGACUCCUACGGGAGGGAGCAGUAGGGAAAUUUCGGAAAUGGGGGGAAACCUGACCGAGCAACGCCGCGUGAGUGAAAAAGGUUUUCGGAGCGUAAAGCUCUGUUGAUAAGGAAGCGGUACUUAACGAGAAAGGGACGGCUAACUACGUGCCAGCAGCCGCGGUAAUUC